UUAGUACUCCCUCCGUCCCAAAAUUCUUGUCUUAGAUUAGUCUAGAUACGGAUGUAUCUAAUACUAAAACAUGACUUGAUACAUCCGUAUUUAGACAAAUCUAAGACAAGAAUUUUGGGACGGAGGGAGUAUUUA
rnacentral:pre_miRNA from 1 species